rnacentral:lncRNA from 1 species
AUUCCUCAGUUCAAUGUUAUUCAUAUUAGAACUUCAACCACGAGAUAAUUCACAUAAAUGCCUUAUCUUCAGCAGAAACAAAAUUACCAAAAUUAACCGCCAUUUUGUUUUCUCCAAUUAAAUCUCGUCCCCAAGCUCCCAGUCCGCUCCAAGUGGUGAUUCCAAUUCCACAAUAAAUAAAAAUAUUCAGAUUUGUAUGUUUAAUAUAAUUUGCUUAGAUUUCGUCGGAUUUCUAGUCUCUCACAUUUCGUUUUAUGCAAUAUAAGUACUACAAUGUCAGAACACAACAACAUCGAUCCAGUUUUACAACGACAGUUAAUGGCAGAAAGUGAAAAAGCUAAAUUUCAAGUACAAGUACACAGUCUGACAGAGACAUGUUGGGAGAAAUGUGUGGAUAAGCCUAACAACAAUAAACUUGAUUCAAGGGCAGAGACAUGUCUGCAGAGUUGUGUGGAACGAUUCAUUGAUUCUAGUAACUUUAUUGUCAACAGACUGGAGGAGCUGAGGAAAAAGUCUUGAAAGAAAUGCUCACAGCCAAACUGUCAAUAGUGGUUGGUUCACUUGGUUGAUGUAUUUUGAACCAUGUUGGGUUGAGAGUGAAUGGAUAAUUCAUGAAACAAUGACAAAAACUGGAAUGACUUCUGCACAAUGCUCGCCCAUGGAUACCACUACUGUGGAAGAAGUACAGAUGCUGCCCCUUUUGCCAAGAGGGGNNNNNNNNNNNNNNNNNNNNNNGGGCAGAGGUGCUUGUUAAUUAUAUAAUUUGUAGAGCUGGGCGAUUCCACAAAUUUCAUCUCGGUUUUGGUCUUUUGGGGGUGGAAAAACCUUGGUUCGGUGUUGGUUUCGGUAUUUUUAGUAUUUUUAAAAUAAGAACAAUUCAAAGCAUAAAUUGCUCAAUAAGUUGUAUAUAACUUUAAAAUAGACAAGUUGUAAAAAGUUCAGUAAAACAAAAACAUAAUUGCUUGGAAGUUAUGUAAAAAUUUCAUUUCCUAAAAAUAUCCUUAGAGGUUCCUUAGACACAGAAUAAAGAUCAGUACCAGAAGG